AUUAACUCAUAUAACUCAUACACACACUAACAAAGGACAGCAACGCCGCUUUUAUACAGUUCACAAUCUGGAAAAGCAAAGAGAGGCUUUUCAGUCAUGUAGUGACAACAUUUAAGCAAAAAUACACCCACAAAAACUCAUUCUUCCAAUAUAGUCAACAAAAUUCCAAGGAACACAUAAUAAUAGACCCAUUCUCUAUGAGUUGCAAAGCGUGUUAAAGGGCAGAGCUCAAAAAGCUAUCUUCACCAUGAAGGGUCGACGGUCCAGAAAAAGGGCCGAGUAAGGGCUCCUGAGUUACCCUUCCUCACGGUAUCUUCACACACCUAUUUGUAAGCCUAAGCGUACAACCAAGGCUCAAGGCAAAAACACAGUGGAGGUGAGGCAAAGUCCGCAUACUGAAAUCCUAUAAUACCCACUCCCCUUUCACCACAAAUGAAGUAAUAAAACACAGAGCCAAAGCACCCUACAUCAUAACAAAACAAGAAAGAACACAAGAACACAAGGCAGAUUUGUGUUUUUUGGACUGUUUACUUAUU
rnacentral:misc_RNA from 1 species